GAUGAACGCUAGCUACAGGCUUAACACAUGCAAGUCGAGGGGCAGCAUGGUCUUAGCUUGCUAAGGCUGAUGGCGACCGGCGCACGGGUGAGUAACACGUAUCCAACCUGCCGUCUACUCUUGGCCAGCCUUCUGAAAGGAAGAUUAAUCCAGGAUGGCAUCAUGAGUUCACAUGUCCGCAUGAUUAAAGGUAUUUUCCGGUAGACGAUGGGGAUGCGUUCCGUUAGAUAGUAGGCGGGGUAACGGCCCACCUAGUCAACGAUGGAUAGGGGUUCUGAGAGGAAGGUCCCCCACAUUGGAACUGAGACACGGUCCAAACUCCUACGGGAGGCAGCAGUGAGGAAUAUUGGUCAAUGGGCGAUGGCCUGAACCAGCCAAGUAGCGUGAAGGAUGACUGCCCUAUGGGUUGUAAACUUCUUUUAUAAAGGAAUAAAGUCGGGUAUGCAUACCCGUUUGCAUGUACUUUAUGAAUAAGGAUCGGCUAACUCCGUGCCAGCAGCCGCGGUAAUACGGAGGAUCCGAGCGUUAUCCGGAUUUAUUGGGUUUAAAGGGAGCGUAGAUGGAUGUUUAAGUCAGUUGUGAAAGUUUGCGGCUCAACCGUAAAAUUGCAGUUGAUACUGGAUGUCUUGAGUGCAGUUGAGGCAGGCGGAAUUCGUGGUGUAGCGGUGAAAUGCUUAGAUAUCACGAAGAACUCCGAUUGCGAAGGCAGCCUGCUAAGCU
rnacentral:rRNA from 1 species